GUAUCAUUAUUCUUUAGCUUUUGAGCUGGUUGUGUAUGCAACUCUCCCUUAGAGUUUGGUUGCAUGGUUGAUUUAUUACGUUUUGCCUUCUGCAAAGGGUACCAAAAUCAUGAACCAUCCAGCAAUUCUUAUCCUAUUUUUUCUUUCUCCCUGCCCCUCCUCCUCUUUUCUGCAAGAAUCAAGUUGGAUGGAUGACAAUAUGGAAAGUCCAGCACAUCACCUUAAUAUAGGGAAAAUUUAAGGAUGACUUUGUUUUACACAAAGUAAAUUUAUAAACCAUUAACCUUAUGGAUUAUCAAGAAAGUACAAGAGAAACAAAGUUACCGCAGAGGGCAUCAUUAAUAUGCCUCUAAGACUCUUGUCCAUUACAGGCUGCAUGUUGACUUGCAAUGUUUGGCCUGCUAUAAAUUACAGGAUGCAUAUUUUUCCUCACUUUAAUCAAUUUUUUUUCAUUGUUCACGCAAAAACUGGUAAUUAGGAAGUCCCUUGUGAUUUUAUCUGUGUCCUUGAGGAACUUCAAAUAAUUUUUAUUUCAUUUUGUCAACAAGAUUGUUAACCAGACAAAUAUUAUAAAAAUGUUGAGCCAUGCUGUCUGUUUAUUUUAUUGAUGCCAUCAGUCGGAGUGAGUUGAACCAUGCUUGUCGUUGUAUUAUCUAGUCUAUUGAUGCUGACUGUGAAUUUUGAUUUUGGAAUAUAUGGAAAGAUGGUGCAAGCAUG
rnacentral:misc_RNA from 1 species